CUAACUUUACCCCUUCACUAUGCAGUUGUUCCCCAAAUCUUAUCCAAUUCAGGUUUCCACAAGAACUCAAAGAACUUAUCAAUGAGUAAUUUGACGCCAUCAGACCUGUUCUUCUCAUCAUCUGGAAGAUUGAUAUUGCAUCUUCAAAAUAUUCAUUUUGAUCUAGAGCAGAGAUCAUAGAGUUCCAAGAUACUGAAUCCUUAUCAAGCAUGGUCUCAAAAACAGAACGUUCAUUUUGAUCAAGAGCGGAGAUCAUAGAGUUCCAAGAUACUGAAUCCUUAUCAAGCAUGGUCUCAAAAACAGAACGAGCAAUCUGUAUUUCACCAAAUUUAGAAUACAUAUUAAUCAUAGCAUUUC
rnacentral:lncRNA from 1 species